GGACUACACGGGUAUCUAAUCCUGUUUGCUCCCCACGCUUUCGUGCCUGAGCGUCAGUAUUGGCCCAGGAGGCUGCCUUCGCCAUUGGUGUUCCUCCACAUCUCUACGCAUUUCACUGCUACACAUGGAAUUCCACCUCCCUCUGCCAUACUCUAGCAUGCCAGUCACGUAUGCAGUUCCCAGGUUAAGCCCGGGGCUUUCACAUCCGUCUUAACAAACCGCCUGCGCACCCUUUACGCCCAGUCAUUCCGAUUAACGCUUGCACCCUACGUAUUACCGCGGCGGCUGGCAC
rnacentral:rRNA from 2 species